AAUUUUUACUUUCUGAUACAAAACACAUAAAAAAUGAUAUAAAACACAUUAAUUUGAAAGAAUUCGUCUACAAUAGUAGAACAGGACCGAUCUUGAAAAUAAUCAUUUCCCUAAUUUUUAUCAUGACUAAAAUCAUUGAUUAUGUAUAUCCAAUCUCCCCGAAAUCGAAUUAAGUCGUUAAAGGAGAAAAGAAGCAGCUACAUCUAAAUCUCCAUUCGCAGCGUCUAACGCCUGCGCAGCCUCUAAUGGAUCAAAUCCCAUACUGACUAGCUGUGCAAUUUUGGAGUUCAAACCGGGGUCAGUGGGAGGAUUUACCAAGGAAGGGGGAUUGGAAGAUCCCUCAUUGUUGGGUGCUACGCUUUCUUUGGUACCAAGACGAGUGCCACUUUGUGG